ACUCACUACAAUAUACAUAUUCUGCGUUAAAAAAUUAGUUCAUUUUGAACUGGUGAUGAAAUUAAAUCACGUGUGCUGAAUAGGCGGUGCAAUAACCCUAUAUGUCUGGUAAGUUUAGUGUGGGGAAAGUUUACUGGGAAAUUUUCAUGUUGUAUGGGGAAAGUUUACAGAAUCCAACAUGCACCAUAUAAGAAUUGAUAUUUCU
rnacentral:lncRNA from 1 species